GGAGUUCAGUCUUCCCAGGCCCACCAUUUUGAUCGAGUGCGGAGCAUUCGUCUUCUGGUACGGGGCCAUAGCUCAGCUGGGAGAGCGCGUGCUUUGCAAGCAUGAGGUCGUCGGUUCGAUCCCGUCUGGCUCCACCAGAUGGAAUUGAAGCUCGAUAGCGCCUCGUUCAUUUCGUCCGCGAAACAUCACUUCGCACUCAUUGGUCCGGAUGGACGGUGACGUGCGUGUUUUCUGACAUCGUAAAGAGGAGAUCGAUCCGAGUUUGGAUCAAGCGAAGCAAUUCGCCUGAGCCAUUCAUUAUCUCCGGGAUCAUUUCGGCGCUCGCUUCAAUCGUGAGAUUGGAUGCGGGUUGUAAAUGAUCCCUUUUAGCGAAGCUUGACCGCCUCGCUAUCGGGCCGAUCUUACGAAGCAAGCUGGUCUUUCUAGUCGAUGUCCGGCUGCGCAAUCGCAUUCAUCGAGGAUGCGUGCCUGAGACUUCGGUCUUCGGGCAGUUGUGCAGACAACAUUCUGCCGAGUGUGUGGACAUUGAUAAUGAGAGCAAUCAAGUGCCUUAAGGGUGUUCGGUGGAUGCCUUGGCGCUGAGAGGCGAUGAAGGACGUG
rnacentral:tRNA from 1 species